UGAUCGGCCACACUGGGACUGAGACACGGCCCAGACUCCUACGGGAGGCAUCAAUAGGGAAUCUUCCGCAGUGGACGAAAGUCUGACGGAGCAACGCCGCGUGAGUGAUGAAGGCUUUCGGGUCGUAAAACUCUGUUGUUAGGGAAGAACAAGUGCUAGUUGAAUAAGCUGGCACCUUGACGGUACCUAACCACAAAGCCACGGCUAACUACGUGCCACCAGCCGCGGUAAUACGUAUGUGGCAAGCGUUAUCCGGAAUUAUUGGGCGUAAAGCGCGCGCAGGUGGUUUCUUAAGUCUGAUGUGAAAGCCCACGGCUCAACCGUGGAGGGUCAUUGGAAACUGGGAGACUUGAGUGCAGAAGACGAAAGUGGAAUUCCAUGUGUAGCGGUGAAAUGCAUAGAGAUAUGGAAGAACACCAGUGGCGAAGGCGACUUUCUGGUCUGUAACUGACACUGAGGCGCGAAAGCGUGGGGAGCAAACAGGAUUACAUACCCUGGUAGUCCACGCCGUACACGAUGAGUGCUAAGUGUUAGAGGGUUUCCGCCCUUUAGUGCUGAAGUUAACGCAUUAAGCACUCCGCCUGGGGAGUACGGCCGCAAGGCUGAAACUCAAAGGAAUUGACGGGGGCCCGCACAAGCGGUGGAGCAUGUGGUUUAAUUCAAAGCAACGCGAAGAACGUACCAGGUCUUGACAUCCUCUGAAACCCUAGAUAUAGGACUUUCUCCUCGGGGACACAGUGACAGGUGGUGCUUGGGUGUCGUCAACUCGGGUCAUGACAUGUUGGGUUAAUCCCGUCACGAUCGCUACCCUUGAAUCUAAGUUGCAUCAUUUAAGUUGGC
rnacentral:rRNA from 1 species